UUAAAUAGUCGAUGCAGACAGUAAACAUGUGGGUUUACAGGGAAGAUGGUGUGGGGAAGGCUGCAAUACUGCCUCAUUGGACUCUCAUGUCACUGAAGGGGACACAGUGUCCAAAGGGCUCUCAUGGCUAGUUAGGACACAGCCACACAGCCAGCAGCCGAUUCCACCUGGCUGCUCUCCCUGAGAAGUACCUCCAAGAUGCUUACUCACGAAAUCCAGCUGGCAUGCUCUGAAGAAGCCCAAGAAGUCCUUGAAGAAACCCAUGUGGAGAGAAACAGCUGGUCCUGGUCUGCACUCCUGGCCAUGUGGGUGAGCCACAUUGAAAGCGAAUCCUGCAGGUCCCAGUUGAAUGCCUCCCCAGAUGUCUGGUGGAUCCAAGAAGGGCUGUCUCAGCCAAACUCUACCUUAUUUGUGAGCAGAUAAAUGACUGGUAUUGUCUAAAGCAAUUUUUAGGUGAGACUCCGUUAUCUCCAGCAUCACAAACAAAGCUGGAAGCAUUCCCCCUGAAAACCGGCACAAGGCAAAGAUGCCUUCUGUCGCCACUCUUAUUCAGCAUAGCAUUGAAAGUUCUGGCAAGAGCAAUCGAGCAAGAGAAAAAAAUAAAGUGCACCCAAAUCAGAAGAGAGGAAGUCCACCUAUCUUUGUUUGCAGACAACACGAUCCUGUAUCUAGAAAACCCCAUUGUCUCGGCCUAAACACUUCUUAAAGUAAGUAAGCAGAAAAGUCUCAGGAUACAAAAUCAAUUGCAAAAAUCAUUAGAUUGCCUAUACACCAACAACAGUCAAACCAAGAGCCAGAUCAGGAACAAACUCCCAUUCACAAUAAGGUAUUUUAAUCACAAAAACAUUAAAAUACCUAGGAAUACAGCUAACCCGGAUCUCUGCAAGGAGAACUACCCAAACCGCUGGUCAAAGAAAUCAGAAUGACACAAACAAAUGGAAAAACACUCCAUGCUCAUGGAUAGGAAGAAUCAUUAUUGUUAAAAUGGCUAUAUCGCCCAAAGCACUUUAAAGAUUCAAUGCUAUUUCUAUUAAACCACCAUUGAGAUUCUUCACAGAACUGGAAAAAAAAGUUAAAAAUUAAUAUGUAACUAAAAAAGAACCUGAAUAACUAAGGCAAUGCUAAGCAAAAAGAAGAAAGCUGGAGGCAUCACGCUAACUGACUUUGUACUACAGAGCUACAGCAACCAAAACAGCAUGGUACUGGUACGGAUACACAUAGACCAAAUGAACAGAAUAGAGAAUCCAAAAAUAAUACUGCACACCUACAACAAUCUGAUCUUUGGAAAACCUGACAAAAACAAGCAAUGGGGAAAGGAUUCCCUAUUCAAUAAAUAGUGCUGUGAUAACUGGCUACCCAUAAGCAGAAGAUUAAAACUGGACCCCUUCCUAACACCAUAUACAAAAAUUAACUCAAGAUGGAUUAGAGACUUAAAUGUAAAAUCUGAGACUAAAAAAACCCUGGAAGACAACCUAAGUAAUACCAUCCAGAACAUAGAAAUGGGCAAAGAUAUCAUGAUGAUGAUGAUAAAACCAAUUGUAACAAAAGCAAAAACUGAUAAGUGGGAUCUAAUUAAACUAAAGAGUUUCUGCACAGCAAAAGAAACAUCAACAGAGUAAACAGACAACCUACAGAAUGAGAGAAAAUGUUUGCAAAAUAUGCAUCUGACAAAGGUCUAAUAUCCAGCAUCUAUAAGGAACUUAAAUUUACCAAAAAAAAACCCAUAAAAAAGUGGGAAAAAGACUAGAACAGACACUUUUCAAAAGACAUUCAUGUGUCCAAUAUCAUAUUUUUUAAAAGAGCUCAAUAUCACUGAUUAUUAGAGAAAUGCAAACCAAAACCACAAUGAGAUACCAUCUCACAUCAGUCAGAAUGGCUAUUACUUAAAAGUCAGAAAAUAAAAGAUGCUGGUGAGGUUGUGGAGAAAAAGGAAUGCUUAUACACUAUUGGUAGGAGUGUAAAUUAGUUAAACCAUUGUGGAAGACAGUGGCGAUUCCUCAAAGACUUAAAAACAGAAAUACCAUUUGACCUAGCAAUCCCAUUACUAGGUAUAUACCCAAAGGAAUAUAAAUCAUUCUAUUAUAAAAACACAUGCACACAUAUGUUUAUUGCAACACUAUUCACAAGAGCAAAGACAUGGAAUCAACCUAAAUGCCCAUCAAUGAUUGAUUGGAGAAAGAACACAUGCUAUAUAUACACCAUGGAAGACUAUGCAGCCAUAAAAAAGAAUGAGAUCACAUCCUUUGCAGGGACAUGGAUGGAGGUGGAAGCCAUAAUCCUAAGCAAACUAAUGGAGGAAAAGAAUACUAGAUACCACAUGUUCUCACUUACAAGUGGGAGCUAAAUGAUGGGAACAUGUGGACACAUAGAGGGUAGCAACACAUACUGGUGCCUGUUAGAGGGUGGAGGGUGAGAGGAGGGAGAGAAUCAGGAAAAUUAUCUAACGGGAACUAGGCUUAAUACCUAGAUGAUAAAAUAAUCUGUACAACAAACCCCCAUGACACAAGUUUAACUAUGUAACGAACCUUCACUUGUACCCCUGAACUUAAAAUAAAAGUUAAAAAAAAGUGUAGCACUAUUGCGUCCAGAUUUUGUUUACUGUUGUUGUUGUCAUUUUUUAAUAGACUGUUUUAAGAAUCCUGUAUCAUCAAGACUCCUGUUGGCACAUAGGGCAGUAUUGUGUAGGAAGAGCUCAU
rnacentral:lncRNA from 1 species